UAAAAGGUGGCUGAGUUUUAGGCGCUAGAUUGUAAAUCUAGUUACGGGUCUAACCCCUCUUUUAA
rnacentral:tRNA from 1 species